GAAAGCAUGAGUAGCGAAGAGGAUUAGAUACCCUCGUAGUCCAUGCCGUAAACGAUGUGUGUUAGACGUUGGAAAUUUAUUUUCAGUGUCGCAGGGAAACCGAUAAACACACCGCCUGGGGAGUACGACCGCAAGGUUAAAACUCAAAUGAAUUGACGGGGACCCGCACAAGUAGUGGAGCAUGUGGUUUAAUUCGAAGAUACGCGCAGAACCUUACCAACACUUGACAUGUUCGUCGCGACUCUAAGAGAUUAGAGUUUUCGGUUCGGCCGGACGAAACACAGGUGCUGCAUGGCUGUCGUCAGCUCGUGUCGUGAGAUGUUGGGUUAAGUCCCGCAACGAGCGCAACCCUCACUUUUAGUUGCCAUCAUUAAGUUGGGCACUCUGAAAGAACUGCCAGUGAUAAGCUGGAGGAAGGUGGGGAUGACGUCAAGUCCUCAUGGCCCUUACGUGUUGGGCUACACACGUGCUACAAUGGUAUCUACAACAGGAAGCAAAACUGCGAAGUUAAGCAAAUCCCUAAAAGAUACCUCAGUUCGGAUUGCACUCUGCAACUCGAGUGCAUGAAGCUGGAAUUACUAGUAAUCGUGGAUCAGCGUGCCACGGUGAAUGCGUUCCCGGGUCUUGUACACACCGCCCGUCACACCAUGGGAGUUGGUUCUACCUUAAGGCAAGGUUUCAAACCCUUGACCACGGUAUAGUCAGCGACUGGGGUGAAGUCGUAACAAGGUAGCCGUAGGGGAACCUGCGGCUG
rnacentral:rRNA from 1 species